UACGUAGGGUGCAAGCGUUGUCCGGAAUUAUUGGGCGUAAAGAGCUCGUGGGCGGUCUGUCGCGUCGGCUGUGAAAUCCCGAGGCUCAACCUCGGGUCUGCAGUCGAUACGGGCAAACUAGAGUAUUGCAGGGGAGACUGGAAUUCCUGGCGUAGCGGUGAAAUGCGCAGAUAUCAGGAGGAACACCGGUGGCGAAGGCGGGUCUCUGGGCAAUAACUGACGCUGAGGAGCGAAAGCGUGGGGAGCGAACAGG
rnacentral:rRNA from 1 species